rnacentral:rRNA from 1 species
GACGAACGCUGGCGGCGUGCUUAACACAUGCAAGUCGAACGGAAAGGCCCUGCUUUUCUGGGGUGCUCGAGUGGCGAACGGGUGAGUAACACGUGAGUAACCUGCCCUUGACUUUGGGAUAACUUCAGGAAACUGGGGCUAAUACCGGAUAGGAGCUCCUGCUGCAUGGUGGGGGUUGGAAAGUUUCGGCGGUUGGGGAUGGACUCGCGGCUUAUCAGCUUGUUGGUGGGGUAGUGGCUUACCAAGGCUUUGACGGGUAGCCGGCCUGAGAGGGUGACCGGCCACAUUGGGACUGAGAUACGGCCCAGACUCCUACGGGAGGCAGCAGUGGGGAAUAUUGCACAAUGGGCGGAAGCCUGAUGCAGCAACGCCGCGUGCGGGAUGACGGCCUUCGGGUUGUAAACCGCUUUCGCCUGUGACGAAGCGUGAGUGACGGUAAUGGGUAAAGAAGCACCGGCUAACUACGU